rnacentral:rRNA from 2 species
GGUCCAGACUUUGAUUAUGGCUCAGGACGAACGCUGGCGGCGUGCUUAACACAUGCAAGUCGAACGAGAAGAGAUGAGAAGCUUGCUUCUUAUCGAUUCGAGUGGCAAACGGGUGAGUAACGCGUAAGCAACCUGCCCUCUAGAUGGGGACAACAGCUGGAAACGGCUGCUAAUACCGAAUACGUUCUUUCUGCCGCAUGGCAGAGGGAAGAAAGGGAGGCUCUUCGGAGCUUUCGCUGGAGGAGGGGCUUGCGUCUGAUUAGCUAGUUGGAGGGGUAACGGCCCACCAAGGCGACGAUUAGUAGCCGGUCUGAGAGGAUGAACGGCCACAUUGGGACUGAGACACGGCCCAGACUCCUACGGGAGGCAGCAGUGGGGAAUCUUCCGCAAUGGACGAAAGUCUGACGGAGCAACGCCGCGUGAACGAUGACGGCCUUCGGGUUGUAAAGUUCUGUUAUACGGGACGAAUGGUACGACGGUCAAUACCCGUCGUAAGUGACGGUACCGUAAGAGAAAGCCACGGCUAACUACGUGCCAGCAGCCGCGGUAAUACGUAGGUGGCAAGCGUUGUCCGGAAUUAUUGGGCGUAAAGGGCGCGCAGGCGGCGUCGUAAGUUGGUCUUAAAAGUGCGGGGCUUAACCCCGUGAGGGGACCGAAACUGCGAUGCUAGAGUAUCGGAGAGGAUAGCGGAAUUCCUAGUGUAGCGGUGAAAUGCGUAGAUAUUAGGAGGAACACCAGUGGCGAAAGCGGCUUUCUGGACGACAACUGACGCUGAGGCGCGA